UGUGGCCUAGUUCAGUCUGAAUGACCCUAC
rnacentral:piRNA from 1 species